CCAAUAGCGUAUAUUAAAGUUGUUGCAGUUAAAAAGCUCGUAGUUGAAUUUCGGGGUCUAUCCGUUGGUCGGGCUUUACGGUCCGUACUGGCGUUAUGGAUUCCUACCUUCUGAAUAACCGGCAUGCCAUUAAUUUGGUGUGCUGGGGAAGCAGGACUGUUACCUUGAAAAAAUUAGAGUGCUUAAAGCAGGCUAUCGCCUGAAUACAUUAGCAUGGAAUAAUGAAAUAGGACGGCAUGGUUCUAUUUUGUUGGUUUCUAGGAUCACCGUAAUGAUUAAUAGGGAUAGUUGGGGGCAUUAGUAUUCAAUUGUCAGAGGUGAAAUUCUUGGAUUUAUUGAAGACUAACUUCUGCGAAAGCAUUUGCCAAGGAUGUUUUCAUUAAUCAAGAACGAAAGUUAGGGGAUCGAAGACGAUCAGAUACCGUCGUAGUCUUAACCAUAAACUAUGCCGACUAGGGAUCGGACGAUGUUAAUUUUUUAAUGACUCGUUCGGCGCCUUACG
rnacentral:rRNA from 1 species